UACGUAGGUGGCAAGCGUUGUCCGGAUUUACUGGGCGUAAAGGGUGCGCAGGCGGAUAUUUAAGUCAGAUGUGAAAUACCCGGGCUUAACCUGGGUGCUGCAUUUGAAACUGGAUGUCUAGAGUGCAGGAGAGGAAAGUGGAAUUCCUAGUGUAGCGGUGAAAUGCGUAGAGAUUAGGAGGAACACCAGUGGCGAAGGCGACUUACUGGACAGUAACUGACGCUGAGGCACGAAAGCGUGGGGAGCAAACAGG
rnacentral:rRNA from 1 species